AUGGUGACUCCUGGGCUCCAGACAGGAUCUUGCUAUAUAGUGCAGCUGUGUACAUCAGACCUGCCUCUUGUCUUCCAUGUGCUGGGAUCAAAGGUGGGCGCAACAUCUGGUGGCCUGUACAGGGCCCAAGGACAACGACCUUGUGGAUUCAGAACUCUUCAGCUGAGGAACGGUGGUACCGGAACAAGAAAAUCCAAUCUGGGUACCAGAGCGAUUGACAUGAAAGCUGCCUACAACUUCUAUCCCGUCCUCCCCCACCCCCCCACCGAAGAUGAAACUAUGGAUCCUGUGGCUGGGAAUGCUCCCGCUAGUGAGAAAUGAAGAGCUACGUUGGGGAAUUAUGUCUGUGUUCCUGAAACCCAUGCCAUUGACGCAUUCAAGUGUUUCCUCAAUUCUUUACAUCUAAUGCUUCACUACAAUUGCCUUUUUUCUAUGCUGCUUCAGCUAAAGGGAUUGUUGUGUUUUCAGAUGAUUCAAAAUAUUUCACAGAUGAAUGAUUGUGUUCAGCUGUAUCUACUAAAGCUAAUGCUACCUGGAUUUGAGGGGUGUGGCCUGCCAGUAUAUCCAAGGGCAAUGGCACUAUACCCUCCCAACCUAGAUGGGCCCCCCUUCCUUUUUGUAGGAGUAUUCCUGAUUCCCUUCCACCUUGGGCAGUGCUCCUUAUAUGUAUGGUUGUCAUGUGGGGUGAAUGGUAGUUGCACUGAUCCCUUGCCUCAGGGCUGAUGGGAGCCAUGGGAUGUAUGCUUGUAAUAGUGUGUGUGUUGUGUGUUUGGUGUAUGUGUUGGAUGCAGUGUGUGCAGACCGGAACUUCCACCAUGGUGGCGCAGGCCUUUGCCAGAGUAGAGGUGGGACAAUCUCAGAUUUGGCUUGCCGCUCUAAAGAAAUAAUGCUGUGUUAUGCCAUGGGUUGCAAGGCUAAGCACUGCACAGAGGAUAGCUUGCUGUUGGCAUCCUGUGGAAGGCACGUCUGAUUGCAUGAAGGUUCAGUGUCCUAGUUCCCUUCCCCCAGGAAAAACGACAUGGGAGCUGGCCAAGACCUCUCUGGGUGAUGAACCCAAAGGAUGGUUUUGUGUAGGGCCCCUAUGCUUGCACACUGGGGAUCAGACCUCUACCUUCACCCAUGAGGCUUGUGUAGCAAUCAAAAUUGGGCCAGAGAUUAAUCAGUGUCCUGGCCUUCUGGUGCAUCUGCUGCAUGCAGACAGGACAAUCUCCUCAUGUGUGGCUUGGCAUGCUAGAAAAGUAGUCAGUGGCAGAUAAGACUUCCCUGGGCAUGUCACCAACCUAAGACAGCGAUCAAAUCAAUGCUGCUUGUCUCUCAAGGACGGGUAAGGGGCAUUGCUGCAGGGGGCAAUCUAAGACAGACAUUCUCUCUGCCAAAAAAAGGGGGGAGAUGUGAGGAGUGGGUGUGGACGCAGUUCCAAGAUGGCGCUCGGGACUGCAGCUAAGUCUUAUGACUUGCACCUGACUUCCUCAUACACCUGAAAAUAAACCAUGACCAUCGUGAGAGCUGUGCAGGUGUACCACGAUGCUGGCAAUGUAAUCAAGUCCAUAUUUGGUGGAGACAUGCCUCUGCCGCCCUGAUUGGCUGAAGCUGCGUGCCUGGUGAGGUGGCAUGGCCUGCUGUGAGUGGUUGGGGGCUGAGAGUAUAUAAGCAGACCUCCCUGGGUUCCCAGGGUCCCCGUAGCAGCAUUGAGGCAUUCCUGCAAUAGAGGCUGUUGAGAAGAAUCCGACCGUGUUGUGUCUUCCUUGCCAGCCUAGGUGGGCACAACAAAAGACGAUUUAUUAAGCAAGUGGCAAUAGAUAUCACCUAUAAACCUAUACACAACAGCUAAAGACAUGGCUUAGUGGGUAAAGGUGCUUGUUAAGCGAAACUGAAAAUCUGAGUUCUAUCCCUCUAUUCCACAUAGAAGGCACUGGAUUAUGUACACACACACACACACAUGUUCCAAUAAAGAUU
rnacentral:lncRNA from 1 species